rnacentral:misc_RNA from 1 species
GUCUUUUGGUUUGUAUUGUUGGGUAUGUUGAUUGGAAGAAAGAAGAAAUGGGGGGUUGUUUUUGUUUUUGGUAAAAAAAAAUAGGGCACUCGGUAAAAAAAUCGAGGAAAAAGAAACUCUCUCCAAGAAAAAGGCACAGAGUACCCUACGGUUGCGACCAGGGGGUGUAAAAAAAAGGACAGUGGUGUUCACUGAUGAUCCUUCCGCAGGUUCACCUACGGAAA